rnacentral:rRNA from 1 species
UACGAAGGGGGCUAGCGUUGCUCGGAAUCACUGGGCGUAAAGCGCACGUAGGCGGACUCUUAAGUCGGUGGUGAAAUCCUGGAGCUCAACUCCAGAACUGCCUCCGAUACUGGGAGCCUUCGAGUCCGGGAGAGGUGAGUGGAACUGCGAGUGUAGAGGUGAAAUUCGUAGAUAUCUGGAGGAACACCGGUGGCGAAGGCGGCAUCCUGGACCGGCAUUGACGCUGAGGCGGCGAAAAGCUAG